GCAGUCCACGGCAAAACCUUUCAAGCAGAGCAAGAAGGCCCGAAUGAGGGAGGGAUGCAGCGGAGCUAACAUCUCAGGAUGCACCUUACAAAAGCCACAUUGUUUCAAUGACUAAUGGGGCAGAAGACAGGUGGAUAGGUGUGGCACCCGAUUUAUUUUCUGAUACAGCAACUAGAGGACAUGAAACAAAUAGCAGGCAAGAGGUUUGAGACAGAGAGAGACACUACACUAUGCAAUUCGUAAGUGCUUCCCCAGUUUGAUCACAGAACGCUGUGAAGACCAAAAAAUUGCAUGGGUUCAAGAAGUGAUUAGCAAAUACAUUAAAUGUAAAUAAAAUACCUCUGAUGCAGGGAAUCUCUGAGCCCCAAGACCUGGAGGACAAGGAACUGCUGAAGGAAAAUACCACGUUAUGCUUGUCCAGCUGUUAUGCUCUCCCAUAUGCCUAUACUUGCUGGCCAUUUUCACAGAUCCUGAAAAUCCCAACAAGGAGCAUGUGCCUAUUGACCUGUGCAGGCAUUUCAAGCUGCUGCAGCACACUGGGUUGUUACAAGCUGGUAAACGGUAAUCCCACAUGGACUGAUAUUUGGCAAUAUUUUAAGUGUGGCAACUUGAGCAAGACUCUGGGCUCUCAGUUAGAAAUACUUUAUCACAGAGGAGUUACUUAUUCAGGUUAG
rnacentral:lncRNA from 1 species